UUUCAGCNGAAGUUUCCNUCAGGAUAGCAGUACCGUUUUCAGUUUUAUGAGGUAAAGCGAAUGAUUAGAGGCCUUGGGGGUGAAACACCCUUAACCUAUUCUCAAACUUUAAAUAUGUAAGAAGUCCUUGUUGUUUAGUUGAACGCGGACAUUUGAAUGCACCGUUACUAGUGGGCCAUUUUUGGUAAGCAGACCUGGCGAUGCGGGAUGAACCGAACGUGAGGUUAAGGUGCCGGAAUGCACGCUCAUCAGACACCAAACCUUUUGUGGUGUCCACCCCGGGACCCGCCGAGUCCCGGCCAGUCGUUGCCCUCGGCGAUGGCGAGGUCUUUGAUCUGCGGGGAGCGCUGGAAUCCAGCCUACCCGCAGCCACUCCCCCGUGGCUCACAGAUUAAGCGUAGGCCGGCGGUCCCACCGGGGCCGCUUGAGAUAUGAUCGGGCCCCGGGUGCCGAACCCGGGGGUCCCCGCAAAAGGUGUUAAUUCAUCUAGACAGUUGGACGGUGGCCAUGGAAGUCGGAAUCCGCCAAGGAGUGUGUGGCCCGCCCGCGGGGAGAGGUUGUUGCACACGGACAGCAGGAUAUUUGCUAGCGGGCCCGGGGCUUUCGCCUCUGGGUUCCGUGACAGCUCUAGGGUGCCAGGAUGCCUACCCCUCGAUAGGGGUCGCGCCACCGGCAGCGGAGGGUUCGCCCGUCCGUCCACAGACUAGACAGAGCUGACCGCGGGCCACACCGCGGUGAAGACAUAGCCGUUUGGGGCCCUGAGAAGGCGCCCGCGCUGGCAAAGAAUAACUCACCAACCGAAUGAAUUAGCCCUGAAAAUGGAUGGCGCUCAAGCGUGCUACCCAUACCUCGCCGCCAGGGUAGAAACGAUGCCCUGGCGAGUAGGCUGACGUGGGGGUCAGUGACGAAGCCU
rnacentral:rRNA from 1 species